UAACACAGCCCGCACUCCUCCUCUCGUCCCACGGCCGCCACCCCCAACCCUCUCGCUCCCUCCGAUCCACUUCUCGCACCUUGAUCCAGAUCGAUGUCACCGCCUCUCGCACCUCGCCUGCAAGCCCCUCCGCCGUCGCCUGCAAGCACCUCCCCUAGCCCCGGCCACCCACUCCCCUUCGUCCUCCCGCAGCAGCUCACCCGCAGCCCUCCCCGUGGCUCUAGGGUUUCGGGGGCGGCGCCGCCUCCAUUGCCGGCACGGUUCCGGUGACUCUGGAGGCUCCUCCCCUGACAUCUACCGCGCCCCACAUGCAGCUCAGCCCCCUGGAUGGUGCUCCUCCGCCCGGCACCGUGCUGGGACAGCCGCGUCCCUGACUUGUCGCUUCCCCAACGGCUGCUGCUGGACCCGACCUAUCCUCCCCGCUCCAUCGGCCCCCUCUCCGGCCGCCAGACUUCCUCGCGCACGUCGUGGUCCAGCUGGGCAAGGUCUUCUUCUUCCUCGAUCUGCUGCAGCCGCAACAACUCAAGGCCAUGGAGCAGCAACCAUGGAUUUUUCUUCUUCUUCCCUGAGAUGAGAUGAAGUUUGUUUUCCUCAAGGUCAAGGUGCAGCAGCUCGACUUGGACUUCAUGCAGCACGACGCUCAGCCACUCCUCUCCUCUUGGAUCUAACCCACGCAGCAGCAACUCCAGGCCAAGGCUCUGUUGGUCGGUCUUCAUGUUGCUGGUGCUACAUGAGGACCCUCUCCUGGAUGGAUGGAUCAUGCUGCUGCUACGUAAGGGCCCUCUCCUGGAUGGAUGGAUGGAUCCAGGAGGAGGAGGUUUGGUGUUUGACAACCUCAAGAUGGAGUAGGAGGAUGAGCAGCAACAACAAAUGUGCCUGAUGGUGAAGAAGCACCUGAUGACCAGAACUCGUUCAAGUGCUCUUUAGUCCUUCCAAAACAAGGAGCUCCAGGCCUAAUUCUUUUGGAGUGUGAAACCGUGAAGCCAAGUGCGAAUCAGUGAAGCCCUACUUAGCAAAGAGUUUUUUGGUUCUAUAGUAGACUGUAAAUUGUAAUAUUGUAACAGAUUGUAAAAGACUAAUGUAGUGUUAUUUGAUGAAUUAUAUUUGUCCCGUCCUAUUUGAAAUAGUGAUUAUGU